GAUGAACGCUGUCUACAGGCUUAACACAUGCAAGUCGAGGGGAAACGACGGGGAAGCUUGCUUCCCCGGGCGUCGACCGGCGCACGGGUGAGUAACGCGUAUCCAACCUGCCUCUGACUGAGGGAUAACCCGUCGAAAGUCGGCCUAAUACCUCAUGGCAUCGUCUGCGGGCAUCCAACGACGAUUAAAGAUUUCAUCGGUCGGGGAUGGGGAUGCGUCUGAUUAGCUUGUUGGCGGGGUAACGGCCCACCAAGGCUACGAUCAGUAGGGGUUCUGAGAGGAAGGUCCCCCACAUUGGAACUGAGACACGGUCCAAACUCCUACGGGAGGCAGCAGUGAGGAAUAUUGGUCAAUGGGCGGGAGCCUGAACCAGCCAAGUAGCGUGCAGGAUGACGGCCCUAUGGGUUGUAAACUGCUUUUAUGCGGGGAUAAAGUGAGGGACGUGUCCUUCAUUGCAGGUACCGCAUGAAUAAGGACCGGCUAAUUCCGUG
rnacentral:rRNA from 1 species